UUGCUCAGCCAGCUCUUGCUUGGAUUCACAGAGGGUUAAAAUUCUGCUCAGUCAAAUGUAGGAAGGAUUUGGCGUCUCAGGCUGUAAAUCCAGGAGGCAGAUCUAAUUUUUCUGAGGUGACUUUCCAGACUCUGGGACCAUGUGCAGUGCGACAAAAAAGCCUGAUUUGCUGACGAGGUAUAUGAAAGCUGCCCGAGGCAGGUGAGAUGAACCUGAGCCUCAGCAUCCAGCACAGAACCCGUGUGGAGCUAUGCACAGUGAGAAGGAUCAGGAUUUGAGCAUCCAGAAAUGUUUCCUAACCCUAAUUCUCAGAGUCAACAUGCACAAAAUGUCAGGUGGCUCAGUAUGCCUGAAGGGGAGGAUUCUCUGAAGUUAAAAUUGGUGAAAAAAAACUAUAUAGCAUGUGAUGUGAUUAAUUCUUGCAAUGUAACUCUGUGCAGACAGCUGCAAUAGUAUUUCUGAACUCUGCUUUUAUGAAAAAACUCCAGGCAUCUCCAGCACUCACUGGCACACAAGCAGUGAAAUCCUUCCAGACAAGGAUUUAACAAGUACUUUGUUCUCCCUCUUCCUACCAGUUUAUAGCUUAUUAGCAUCCUCUGACCAGAAGCAGUGUUGGGAAUUAAUAGCCUAAUUUAUAGUUUACAACCUGCUGAUGCACAUAGGCCUCUUAACUGCUUAAAUUCUGUGUGAAGAGCCCAAGAACCAGCUCAUGCUCCAGGAGUGUGGCCAUGUGCCAGGGACAUGACCAGGUUGUCCUCUGCACCAGGUACCACGCCAGAUGCGUGUGGGUGAUGGUGAGUCAGACAGUGCCUGUGCUCUGUCACGGCUGGGCCUCUUCCAGCUCACAGGCUGCCCAGGAAAAAUGGAUUUACCUGAAUCCUGGCUUCUCUAACACUGCGAGUCCACAAGACCCUGUAACUUUACCUCUUUCAGGGACAGAGAUGGCUGUUUGUGGCUCCCUUGUGGGGCACAGAUGGGGGACACAUAGCCUUGUGGGCUCCACAGCGGGUGGGUGCAGGAGGUGAUCCAGUGAGGGCUUCAGGGGUAAGGGGAACACCAAGGGGAAGGCAAAAGAGACAGUGCCUGGCUGUGUCAUUGUGCUCUCUUUGCAGCAGCUUUCCAUAGAGGUGUGUGCUCUGUACUUGUGAAGACUGUAGCUACCCCAAGGAACCCCAGGGACGGACCUUCCCUGCCGAAUACACUUCUGCUGGAAAAGCAGAUGUUCACCACAGAAACACUCUGGCUCUGCAGCAGUGGAGUGCCUCUGCCCGCUGAGUCCUUGGCUCUACAGGCUGGGGAGAUCCAUCUUUAGUCCAUGAACUCUCACAUUCCUUCAGCCUCAAAGAUGAUUCCCACAAACUCUGAGGGGAAUCCUGCUGCAUUUCCUGCCCCCUCCCUGCAGAAAGCUCGUUCCCCAGAAAGCAACCUGAAACCUCACUGAGGAAUCCACUGAAGCUUCUUUGGCAAUAAAAUCCUACUGUCACGCUGCGUGAUAGAUGAUACUCUUGAAAAUACAGCCCUUGGUGGGAACAGCCAGAUCAUUUUGAUUAGCUUGACUGCUUGUCUUGUGAAAUUUGGCAGUUUGUAAGUGUGUUGAAAGUUAAAAGUUUGUAUGUGUCUGAACCCGCCUGUAGACUGCUCAGCUUUCCAAAAUCCUGAUGUGUGAAACACACUGUUGUGCUCUUCUGCAGGACCACCCUCCCAGUCAGCAGUUUAUCAUUAUGCCCUCUGCCUGUCUGGAUGCCCAAACAGCAGGCACCUAAUGCAUUUUACCUGUAGGACAUAUAGAAUGAGAAUGAGACAGCAGAACUGCUGCUAACGCACAAGAUGCAGCUGCCUUGACCAGUGGGUACCUGGAUUUUCACACUCAGAAGCGGCAGUGGCGACAGCGGUGCCCCGAGCCACAGGGAGGAGCAUCCCAAGCCAAGAGAAGGUGCUUGCUGCUGAGAAGAGGCUCUCUGGGACCCGUGCAUGUGGCUACCCAGCCUGGGCCUUCUAGGCUAGUGAUUUAUGAGCUUAGGCCUGCCAAAUGGACAUCUACAGAGAGUUUUUAGUGUCCUGCUACGAAUAUGCUCUUGUCAUAGCUCAUUCUGUGUAAUUUUUCCAGUAAAACAAUGAUCCUUUCCUGAUUAUCUUCUUUUAAAAAACCACCCCAAAGCAGUGCAUUUGAAAAAGAAAAAAAAGCUCAUGGGUUCUGAUCCCUGCCCCAGAGGGAACAUUUCAGUUUCAUUUCUUUGCAGUUCUAUCAGAUCCUGUCCUCGAUGAAACAAAAGCGAAAAUGGACAGAAACAAAGAGACAAAUGUAUUUGAAGGUCUGCUGUGUUUACUCAUAACUUCCUGCUGUAGAAUUUCUUGUACCUUAUACCUCCUAGAAACAGCGGCGGA